rnacentral:rRNA from 1 species
GACAGAGGUGCCGAGCGUUAGGCGGAAUCACUGGGCUUAAGGCGUGUGUAGGCGGACCGUUAAGUACCUUGUGAAAUCCCCCGGCUCAACCGGGGAACGGCUGGGUAUACUGGCGGUCUUGAGCCAUCCAGGGGCAGUCGGAACAGACGGUGGAGCGGUGAAAUGCGUAGAUAUCGUCUGGAACGCCGAAGGUGAAAACAGACUGCUGGGGAUGAGCUGACGCUGAGACACGAAAGCCAGGGGAGCAAACGGG